UGUGAGCCUAUGACGCUGCUAUCUGUCCAACAGCACACUGGAGGAUUUCAGUGGAAGUUGCCUCCACCUCAUCCCAGCAAAGAAAAAUUUUAUCUCAUGAGACAAUCCUUGUUUCACCUGAAAGAUUCUACUCAUAGGAUUGUUUAAAAAGGCUGAGAUUUUUCAACAGAAG